rnacentral:lncRNA from 1 species
GCCCCGUUUCCUCUUACUGCUUUGAGAACUAUCCGAAGAGUAGGGCUCUUGAGGAGAACAGACAGGUUGUUCAAGUUCCUCGGUUAUACCACUCCUUUCGAGUUGUUCAUUCUCAUAAUCCUCAACCUUACGCAACUUCGCACUGUCUUUGUGUUCCUUUACUUCAUUAUUGAGCUUGAACUUUAUACCGCCAACACUUGCAUGAGAGGUUGUUGAAUCUUUUAGUUUCUCUUCUUUUUCCCUUCUCCUUUUUUCCUUCUUCUCCUUCUUCUCCCUCCUCCUCUCCUUCCUCUCCUUCUUGGCCGCUUUGUCGGCGGCUUUCUUGUCCUUCUCCUCUCUUUCUUUCUGGAGCUUCUCCAAAUC